rnacentral:rRNA from 1 species
AUGCAGUCACUCCAUUUUUCGUACAAGACACACACCAACAAAUUGCACAUACCUUCCCUCGGCCUUGCUCUUAUGCUGCUGGUCUGCUUGGCCUCUCAUACCAGUUCCUGCACGGAGCAGGAGAAGGGCUCCCUUCUCCAGUUCCUUGCCAAGCUCUCACAAGACGGUGGCCUCGCUGCAUCCUGGCGGAAUGGCACGAAUUGCUGCAAGUGGGAAGGGAUCACCUGCAGGGAAGAUGGGACGGUCACCGCUGUCUUGCUGCCUUCGAAGGGCCUCCACGGGCACAUCUCACAAUCCCUUGGAAACCUAACCGGGCUGCAGUACCUUGAUCUCUCUGACAACUUGUUGUCCGGUGGUCUGCCGGUGGAGUUGGUGUUCUCCAACAGCAUCACAACCCUUGAUGUCAGCUUUAACCGGCUCAAUAGCAUACUCGACGAGCUGCCAUCUUCAACCCCUGACCGGUCUAUGCAGGUACUGAACAUCUCAAGCAACUUAUUUGUGGGACAGUUUCCAUCCACCAUAUGGAAAGCAAUGGGGAAUCUGGUCGCACUCAAUGCCAGCAACAACAGCUUUACUGGGCAGAUACCAGCUUAUUUCUGUGAAACCUCACCAUUCUUCGCCGUGCUUGAUCUAUGCUUCAACAAAUUCAGUGGCAACAUCCCCCAAGGACUUUGUGAUUGCUCCAGGCUGAGAGAGCUCAGGGCCGGGAACAACAACCUCAGUGGAACACUCCCAGAUGAACUCUUCAACGCUACCUUGUUGGAGUACCUGUCUUUUCCUAACAAUGAUCUACAUGGAGCUCUUGAUGAUGUGCUCAUAAUCAACCUCAGAAAUAUCGUCACCCUAGAUCUUGGAGGGAACAAAUUCAGUGGCAGGAUUCCAGAUUCUAUAGGUCAGCUCAAGAAACUGGAGGAGUUCCAUUUGGACAACAACAUGAUGUUAGGGGAGUUGCCAUCAGCUCUGAGCAACUGCACGAAUCUCAGAACAAUUGAUAUCAAGACGAACAAAUUCAGUGGAGAACUCACCAAGGUCAAUUUCUCCAACCUUCCCUCUCUGAAAACAUUAGACCUUCUGAACAACAACUUCACUGGCACAGUUCCAGAAAGCAUUUACUCCUGCAGCAAUCUGACUGCACUGCGGCUAGAAGGCAACAAGUUACAUGGGCAGCUUUCACCACAAAUAAGCAAUCUGAAGUCCCUCUCCUUCCUAGCACUUGGUAAAAACAAUUUCACAAACAUCACAAAUACACUUCAGAUCCUUAAGAGCUGCAGGAACAUUACCACUCUUCUUAUCGGCGAUAACUUCAAGGGAGAGCUCAUGCCAGAGGAUGACAGCAAUGAUGGCUUUGAAAAUCUCCAGGUUUUGGACAUCAAAGAUUGCCAGUUGUCGGGAGAAAUACCUGUAUGGAUAUCAAGGCUCACACAUUUGAAGAUGUUACUUUUAAAUAGCAAUCAACUCACUGGGCCAAUACCAACCUGGAUCAGCUCCCUAAGAUAUCUCUUCUUUAUGGAUGUGUCAAAUAACAAUCUUAUAGGAGAGAUUCUGUUAACCUUCACGGAGAUGCCCAUGCUAACUGACAGCAAAACUCAUUUGGACCCAAGGGUCUUUGAGCUGCCUCUUUAUAAAGGUCCAUCACUUCAAUACCGUGUGGUUACAUCUUUCCCAAACACGUUAAAUCUAAGCAACAACAACUUCACAGGUGUGAUUCCCCCACAGAUUGGUCAGUUGGAAGUGCUUGGUGUACUUGAUUUCAGUUUCAAUAAGUUAUUCGGGCAGAUCCCCCAAUCGUUUUGCAACCUCACAAACUUGCAGGUGCUAGACUUGUCCAACAACAAUCUCACAGGUGAUAUCCCAGCUGCAUUGAAUAGCCUGCACUUCCUUUCAGCAUUCAGCAUUUCAAACAAUGACCUACAAGGGCCUAUUCCAUCUGGAGGCCAGUUUGAAACAUUUCAGAAUUCUAGUUUUGAUGGGAACCCAAAGCUGUGUGGCUCUAUUCUCAGUCACAAAUGUGUUUCUGUAAAAGCACAAGAAGCCAUCAUUCUGUCAAGAAAACAAACUGACUACAAGGUGGGCUUUGUGAUUGCCUUCAGUGCGUUCUUUGGUGUAGGGGUGUUGUAUGAUCAGUUAGUCUUAUCCAGGUAUUUUAGCUAG